rnacentral:tRNA from 1 species
GCUCCCGUAGUUCAACGGAUAGAAUGCAAGAUUGCGGAUCUUGCGAUAGAGGUCCGACUCCUCUCGGGAGCA